GAUGAACGCUGGCGGCGUGCCUAAUACAUGCAAGUCGAGCGAACAGACGAGGAGCUUGCUCCUCUGACGUUAGCGGCGGACGGGUGAGUAACACGUGGAUAACCUACCUAUAAGACUGGGAUAACUUCGGGAAACCGGAGCUAAUACCGGAUAAUAUAUUGAACCGCAUGGUUCAUUAGUGAAAGACGGUUUUGCUGUCACUUAUAGAUGGAUCCGCGCCGCAUUAGCUAGUUGGUAAGGUAACGGCUUACCAAGGCGACGAUGCGUAGCCGACCUGAGAGGGUGAUCGGCCACACUGGAACUGAGACACGGUCCAGACUCCUACGGGAGGCAGCAGUAGGGAAUCUUCCGCAAUGGGCGAAAGCCUGACGGAUCAACGCCGCGUGAGUGAUGAAGGUCUUCGGAUCGUAAAACUCUGUUAUUAGGGAAGAACAAAUGUGUAAGUAACUAUGCACGUCUUGACGGUACCUAAUCAGAAAGCCACGGCUAACUACGUG
rnacentral:rRNA from 1 species